GUAUAUUACUUUCCCAUUCUACUGUAGGUUACUCUCCCAUGCUACUGUAGGUUAGUCUCCCCUGCUACUGUAGGUGACUCUGCCAUUAUACUGGAGGUUAGUCUCCCCUGCUACUGUAGGUUACUCUCCCAUGCUACUGUAGGUUACUCUGCCAUUAUACUGAAGGUUACUCUCCCAUGCUACUUACUGUAGAUUACACUCCCAUGCUACUGUAGGUUACUCUCCCGUGCUACUGUAGGUUACUCUCCCAUGUUACUGUAGGUCACUCUCCCGUGCUACUGUAGGUUACUCUCCCAUGUUACUGUAGGUUACUCUCCCAUGCUACUGUAGGUUACUCUCCCAUAUGGCUAAGUUGAUUGUUCAGCUACAGUAGGUUACUCUCCCAUAUGGCUGAGUUGACUGUUCAUCUACUGUUUGUUAUUCACCAAUAUGGCUGUGUUGCCUGUUCAGCUACUGUAGGUUACUCUCCCAUAUGGCUGAGUUGACUGUUCAGCUACUGUAUGUUACUCUCCAAUGCUACUGUAGGUUACUCUUCCAUCCUACUGUAGGUUACUCUCCCCCUUCUACUGUAGGUAACUCGCCCAUGCUACUGUAGGUUACUAUCUCAUGUUACUGUAGGUUACUCUCCCAUGUUACUGUAGGUUACUCUCCCAUGUUACUGUAGGUUACUCUCCCAUGCUACUGUAGGUUACUCUCCAAUGUUACUGUAGGUUUCUCUCCCAUGCUAUUAUAGGUUACUCUCCCAUGAUACUGUAGAUCACUCUCCCAUGCUCCUGUAGGUUACUCUACCAUGAUACUGUAGGUUACUCUCCCAUGCUACUGUAGGUUUCUCUCCCAUGCUAUUAUAGGUUACUCUCCCAUGAUACUGUAGAUCACUCUCCCAUGCUCCGUAGGUUACUCUACCAUGAUACUGUAGGUUACUCUCCCAUGUUACUGUAGGUUACUCUCCCAUGCUACUGUAGGUUACUCUCCCAUGCUACUGUAGGUUACUCUCCCAUAUUACUGUAGGUUACUCUCCCAUGCUACUGUAGGUUAAUAUCUCGAUUGUAUCAUAAUAACUAUUGUCUGGUUUGGGAUGUGCAGUUGCGUAGUGCAG
ensembl:lncRNA